GUGCUUGUGACAGGAGGAGCAGCCGUGACAGGAGUAUUACUGGUUUUUGAAUCUUGAUCUUUUGCAGGGGCAGGUGCUGGCGGUGGAGAAUGCUUCAGGUGGGGAGGUGUAUUGUGCUUCAGUUUCAAGAGUAUCUGUCUCAUCCUUGAAAGGUCAGCUGGUUUCCCAGGCUUCGGACCUUGGACCACAACAAUGGAAGGCUUCUUCUCCUUAUCUUUUUUUCCUCUCUUCUCUAUUGCUGGCACUUCAUUAGGAAUGAGCUCUGCAAUU
rnacentral:lncRNA from 1 species